UCAGCACCAACACCAACCCCACCUCACCAAACAUCCCACUCCACCAACUCCAUUAUCUUUUGCUCCCCACCAAAUCCUUCUCCCUUCUUACUCAAUAGAUCGCCAGUGGAGCUGUUUAAGAAAAUCCAAUUCGUAUAUUCCAACAGAAUGUUUACAGCAAGCUCAUGCCAACAUCAAAACCAAGUUUCACACAGAAAAAAAAACACCCGAAAUAACAUCUAUAAUCUCCGAGAUCUCCUUAUUCAAACAGUAUAUGCCAACAAAUUUUCACCAAGAAGAAGAAAACAGAUCAGCCAAUCAAGCACAAAUAGACAAGGUAAACACUAGGCUCAGCUCAUUCAAUCCAUUCGUUUUUCAUCCAACAAGCAUGAUCGAUUAAAGGAUACUAAGCAUACAAUGAGUAUAUUCAUAAAGAGACUUAGCAAACUCAUAUGAUCUUUAGGCAGAAAUCAGUUUAUGCUAUAUUUUCUUAUCACACGAGGCAAGCAAGGAAAUUUCUUGAUACAUUAGUAAACCACGAACUUAGUUUUAUCUCUUGCAUAAUCAAUUAUAGAAAUACCAUAAUUCAAUAGAAAAAGGGAGAGAGUGAGGCUUGAGCCGGUUCUUGAGCAGAGGACAGAUUUCAGCGGCAUCUCCUGCUGCCUCGGCGGAAAUUGCGUGACAACAGCAGCAGCGUCACGAACGAAACAACGGCGCUGAAUCGCUGAUCUUCCACAAACGGUGGAGAUGGCGGCAGAACCAUGGCGGCAGAGGCGGAAAAGAAACAAGGCUCGACUCCCCGCCUGCUUUGACAUCUGAAUCGGGACCGGAACGGAGGAAGAAGGCGGCGUGACGCAACUCGAACCCAUCGGGACCCCAACAACAACGAUCCAAGGACAGCAGCGGAUCGGCGAGCCUUUCACCUGCCGCCGGGAGGAACAGCGGCACCAUUCCAAGGGCAGCAGCGGCGCGAUGAGGGCGUCGGACACUCCCCUGCUCGCCGGCCUUCACAAGGCGGCGGCGGAACUUCAGCGUGAGGGAGAGAGACCGGAACCGAUGGCCGCUGAACAACCGAGGAAGAGGGCCGAUCAGAUCUUGGCCGAGAAAGAGAGAGAGCGGCCGGAAGGAGAGGAGGCCGACGGGCUCCAGGCCGGAGCAACCCGCUCCCAGACGGCGACCGUCGCCCAAUUUCGAAAGGGUAGCAGCAGCAGCAGCGCUGAUUCCUUGAGAAUCGGGCUCGAUGUUGGGGAGGAAAGAGGACGGCGCCGGGGCUGAGCGCGUCGACAGAUGACGCCGGCUGAAGUCGCGGCGGCGGACGCCUCGUGUGAAGGCGAGUCGAGAGUGAGAGGGAGAAGAGGCGUGCGGCUGGGUGAGAGAGUGAGGAGAGUUCGGCUGUUGAGAGUGAUAGAGAGAACCGAGCGAGGGAGAAAGUAAGGUGGGCCUUUUGUUAAUUUACUUGGGCUUCAUUUAAAUGAAUUGGGCUUCUAUUUUUUUGGGCUGUAGUGUUGGGCCGAAAAUUUUUAAAGGAAAGAAUUUUGGGCCAUUUUCCUUUAAUAUAAUUUGAGCAGAUGGGCUUUCUUAUUUAAAAGUUGGGCUUUCACUAAAUUCGAAUGGGCCAGUCUUUAUUUAAUUGGCCUUCUCAUUAUUUAUUGGGCUGAAUUAAUUUAAGGAGUUGGGCUGAUGCAUAUAUUUAUGAUGGGUUAUUAUUCUAAUCCCAUUUAUAUUUUAUUGGGCCAGUUUAAUUCAUCACUUGGGCCGAGUUUUAUUUAAUUUUAAGCUCAGAAUAAUUCAUUCUAUUCUUGGGCUAAUUUUAAAUUAUGGACUGAAAUUUUAUUUAGUUGGGCUUUACAUGAUUUAUUUAUUUGAGCCCAACAGACCUUAUUUUAAUAUCGGCCUUAUUAUUUUAUUUCUUUGGGCCGAGGCUUAUUUAAUUGCAGCUGGGCCUUGCGUACUUAUUUAACUUAGCCCAGCUAUUCAUUAUUUAUUCAUUGGGCCAAGAUUUAUUUAAUUACUUAAGCCAAUGAAUUAUUUCGAUUGGGCUUUCGUACUAUUUAUUCAGGCCCACUUCUACUUAAUUAAUUAUCAGGCUGCCUUGUUGAGCCUCUUAAUUAUUGAGCUUAUAUUAUUGUUUCCUUAAGGCCAAAUUAUUAUUUUGAGCUGCCAUUAUUUAUUUGAGUUAAGCUACUCGUUUUAUUUAAUUAAUUGGCUACUCUCUUUUGAGCCUAUUAAUUAUUUGAGAUUAUAUUAGUAAUUAUGUUUCUAUCGAAAAGCCCGAUAGUUUCUACAAGGUCACACCUCGUUUAAAGCCGAGUUAGUCAUUUUUCAAUCAAGUACAAAUGCGAGAUUUAUUUCACAACUAGAAUAUUACGAUGAGGAAGGAAGAAGCACAACUUUAUUCGACCGCGUUAGACGAGAAUUAGUUAAAUCUAUUAACAAGGAUUAAUAGUAGAAUUCCCGAUUAUCGCUCAAAAGAUUAGAUCAUGCAUACCAGAUUCAUGCAUAGUUAAAUUACGCUUUCUCAUUAAUUAAGAAUUUUCCUCGAGGCAAUGUCUUAUUUUAUAUUCUCGUGAUUAAGGUCAAGCGCGAGAGUAAGAACUACACAAGGAGUUAGAGUACCUUAGCAAAACUUUGCUAUCAGGUGGGCAAUUCCUUACGCGUAAAUAAAAUGCUAUGCAAAUGUUAUGCUUUAAAAUGCAAAUUGGAUCUUCAAGUAUGGUGCGUAUAGCUUUAUUAUGCUGCUAAAUGAUUAGCUUUAUUAUGCUGCACUUAAAUUUACGCCUAUGUAAUUUACGCUUGAUUACGCUUAUUUACGCUUGAAUGCUUUACGCUGAUAAGUUUAUGCUUAUGUUUGAUGCUUGCGUCUGUUGGGGGAGGCCUCCCUCAACAGUACGAUGCCGUGUCCGCUGAGGAGGGCCUUCCUCACGGCGCGAUGCCCGUGUCCGCUGAGAGAGGCCUCUCUCGCGGCGCGAUGCCAGUAUGCCAGUAUGCCAGUGUUACAGCGUCUAUUGGGGGAGGCCUCCCUCAAUAGUACGAUGCCGUGACCGCUGAGGGAGGCUCCCUCUCACGGGCGAUGCCCGUGUUCGUUGGGGAAGGCCUUCUCCACGACACGAUGUGUUAUGAUUAUGAUGAAGAAUGCCUAUGCUUUUAUGAAUUGGAAAUGUUUAAUGAGCAAAGGAUUGAAAGAAACUAUGCCUCUUAUGCGAUUGUGAUUGUUUGAUUUAUGUUAUAUGCUUGGCAACUGCCCACUAGUACUCUUGUACUAGCCCUUCGUAUGUUUAUGUUUGUGCAGGUUGAGUGUGAUGGGCGAUGAAGUGUUGUUGCUGAGUGGAGUUUUUGUCGAACUUAAAGUAGGCUCAGAAAGGAUACAUGUCUUCAUACAUGUAUCUCAGUUAUGCAUUCCGCUGUAAACACUGAUUAUUUCAGUUACCCUUCCGUUGCAAACUCUGAUAAUGUUUUAGCCAAGCCCCUAAAUGCCUUUUUCCUUUUAAGGAAUAUAACGCGUAUACAAGUUCUUUGAGUACCCUUUUUAUGCGAACUAUGCCUUUUUCCUUUUUAAGGAAUAUUUCACGCGUAUUCAAGCUCUUUGAGUAUUCUUUUAUGCGCCCUUUCUAAACCCGCUUCUUAAUUUCCCUUCCCCAGUCAUGGUUUUCCCGGAUUAAUUAUCCUUAAUUAAGGCCGGUCGUGACAGAGUGGUAUCAGAGCAGUUCGUUUGCUCUGAGCCUAAGAGUUUAUUUAAGCCAAACUUAGAAUGGAUCACUAAAGUGUCUAGAGUUCAAUCGACAAAGCUCAGCACUUCAUCGCAUCACACUCAACGAAGCAGAAUGGUAAGCUCUUCCAAGUUUUGAGUUAAUGUUUACAAAAAGUGAGAAUUAUCGUAAUAGCAAAGUGAGUAACUGUUAAUACUAGUUAUUUGUUAUUGAAUGAAAUGAUUUACGCAAGGCGAUUAAGUAUGCCUAUGGAAUGAAUCCCUAUGAACAUAGAGUAUUAAGAUAUGAGAUCACCACUACACAGAACAUAGAAGCAAACAUAGAAAAAAUUAGAUUGUAUCUUUUGGUGGCUAUAGUGAAGGAGCAAGAUAAGUGAUACGUAUAGAAAAUUUUCUUAAGCUAUGAUUUAUAGCCCUAUAAAUCUCCAUGACUUAUGCUAAGUAUCCAUUUAGAUGAUGUGAUAUUAUAUGCUUAAGAUUGUAUGACUCAUGAUUUGGAUGCUAAGGACCCUUAAAGCUUACUACAUCAAUGAUCAAUGAUGUCAUUGGAGUAUGACUUGUUUACAAGUUAAUAAGUUACUUACAAGAAUUCUUUUGAGGUUUGUAUUAGAUUAUGCUAGAGUGUCUAAUUGCACAUCCUGCUAUCAGAAUGCCGCCUAAGAGAGGACGCCCUGCGAGAAACAAUAACAAUCGCAGAAACCGUAACGCUGUACCCGAAGAACCACAAGAUGCUCGAGGACAUAACCCAUCCCCUCCGCCCCCAACUAGGAGAGUCGAAGAACUCUUUUUAAGGCAAAACCACCUACGUUUGACGGAACGAGUGAACCGCUGAAGCUGAGAUUUGGGUGCGUCAAUGGAACGCAUUUCAACUUUCUACUUGUACUGAUGAGGAGCGCCUAUCUUGCGUCUCUUCCAACUAACAGGAUCGCUGACUUUGGUGGGAAGCACGACGAAAAAUCUGACACCGAACAAUGGGCAAUAUACUUGGGAAGAUUUUAAGACGGAUUAUAUGAUAAAUAUAUCCGAAAAGCUAUAGAAGAAGAAAGAAGCUGAGUUCUACGAGUUAAGCAAGGAAAGAAAUCUGUGGUUGAAUACGACAAGGAAUUCUGCAACCUGUCGAGGUUUGCUCCCAACAAGUACACAGAGAGAAGAUGGCAGAGAAAUUUUGUGCCGGCUGCGGUACAAUAAUGGCUCUAGCAAGCCACGGAGGACUCUCAUACACGGAGUCUCUGAACAGGGCACUUGACGUUGAAGCUGCAAUGCCGUCGACAAGUCAGCCCCAUUGAUCUCAACGCCAAACGAUCCACCAGGAGCCUCCAUACCUCAAAGGGAAGCGCAAGUGGGACAACAAGAAGACAAAUCAAUCGAUAUAAGAGUUGGCAAGAAAGAACGGGCCGAACAGUUUAUUCAACCAAGGACGAGGCACAGACUAACUCGAGCAACUGGGGUACCAAGGUCAGAAAGGAGUUUUACCUUGCCCAAAUUGUGGUAAGAUGCAUAGGGUGUUGUCGCUGGACUAACGGUUGUUACAAUUGUGGCAAAAAGGGUCACUACUCCACGCAAUCCCCAACAAAACGAGGUUCAGCAAUUGGAACACCCGCACCCUUGCCAGCAAUAGUGACACUUGCGAAAUCAGCCUCAAUCACAUCAGUGAAAAUCUUAUGGAGACACCGCAGACAAGAGAAGCUACGUGGGAACUUGAAGACAAGAUGAAGGAAAAAUACCCCGAACUGUUUUAGCAGAGAUAUGCAAAUUUCGGGACGAAAUUUUUGUUAAGAGGGGUAGUAUGUAGUAGCCCGCUCUUUUAAUUAUGAUUAAAACUAGUAAAUGCAAUUUUUAUAAAUGAAUCCAGUUUAUGGUCCUGAUUUUUUUUAUCAGAAACGGAGUUAUUAUUUUAGCUUUAUACUUUUAUAACUAUGAGAAAAACGCGACGAGGAUUAUUGAGCAUUCAAUAAUUAUUAUUUCCAAGUUAUAACUGACUUAGCAAAGUCAUUAUUUAUUAAUCGAAAACAGAAGCAGUUAUAUUUUAUUAGUGCUACUAAAGUCGAGGAAUUAUUCCGACUGCAACGCAGAUUAAAUCUACGGAUUUAAUUUAAGUUAUAUUACAGUUUAUCAAGUUAGCAGGCAAGGAAAAAGAUAUCAAGCAAGAUAGAGAAAUGCGAUGAUUGAAAAUCGAAACCAGUAUUUAUUACAGUUCACAGAUUACAGAUUAGUUCCCAGCUUGGGGAAAAUCGUCUAGUAUAUUACAAAGGAUUGGACUCUACGUGGCCACUUAAUGCCUUCACUCAAGUGUAGACACAUAAAUCAAUAAGAAUAAUAUUCAAUAUAACUAAGGAAUGUAGCAGGUCAUUACUCACCACUACUCCACUCCACCAAUUUCCCCACCACACUCAAAGUAUCAGCACCAACACCAACCCCACCUCACCAAACAUCCCACUCCACCAACUCCAUUAUCUUUUGCUCCCCACCAAAUCCUUCUCCCUUCUUACUCAAUAGAUCGCCAGUGGAGCUGUUUAAGAAAAUCCAAUUCGUAUAUUCCAACAGAAUGUUUACAGCAAGCUCAUGCCAACAUCAAAACCAAGUUUCACACAGAAAAAAAAAACACCCGAAAUAACAUCUAUAAUCUCCGAGAUCUCCUUAUUCAAACAGUAUAUGCCAACAAAUUUUCACCAAGAAGAAGAAAACAGAUCAGCCAAUCAAGCACAAAUAGACAAGGUAAACACUAGGCUCAGCUCAUUCAAUCCAUUCGUUUUUCAUCCAACAAGCAUGAUCGAUUAAAGGAUACUAAGCAUACAAUGAGUAUAUUCAUAAAGAGACUUAGCAAACUCAUAUGAUCUUUAGGCAGAAAUCAGUUUAUGCUAUAUUUUCUUAUCACACGAGGCAAGCAAGGAAAUUUCUUGAUACAUUAGUAAACCACGAACUUAGUUUUAUCUCUUGCAUAAUCAAUUAUAGAAAUACCAUAAUUCAAUAGAAAAAGGGAGAGAGUGAGGCUUGAGCCGGUUCUUGAGCAGAGGACAGAUUUCAGCGGCAUCUCCUGCUGCCUCGGCGGAAAUUGCGUGACAACAGCAGCAGCGUCACGAACGAAACAACGGCGCUGAAUCGCUGAUCUUCCACAAACGGUGGAGAUGGCGGCAGAACCAUGGCGGCAGAGGCGGAAAAGAAACAAGGCUCGACUCCCCGCCUGCUUUGACAUCUGAAUCGGGACCGGAACGGAGGAAGAAGGCGGCGUGACGCAACUCGAACCUCAUCGGGACCCCAAACAGCAACAACGAUCCAAGGACAGCAGCGGAUCGGCGAGCCUUUCACCUGUCGCCGGGAGGAACAGCGGCACCAUUCCAAGGGCAGCAGCGGCGCGAUGAGGGCGUCGGACACUCCCCUGCUCGCCGGCCUUCACAAGGCGGCGGCGGAACUUCAGCGUGAGGGAGAGAGACCGGAACCGAUGGCCGCUGAACAACCGAGGAAGAGGGCCGAUCAGAUCUUGGCCGAGAAAGAGAGAGAGCGGCCGGAAGGAGAGGAGGCCGACGGGCUCCAGGCCGGAGCAACGCCGCUCCCAGACGGCGACCGG
rnacentral:lncRNA from 1 species